AAACUUUCAACAACGGAUCUCUUGGUUUUGGCAUCGAUGAAGAACGCAGCGAAAUUUCAACAACGGAUCUCUUGGUUUUGGCAUCGAUGAAGAACGCAGCGAAAUGCGAUAAGUAAUGUGAAUUGCAGAAUUCAGUGAAUCAUCGAAUCUUUGAACGCACAUUGCGCCUCCUGGUAUUCCGGGAGGCAUGCCUGUUUGAGCGUCAUUACAACCCUCACG
rnacentral:rRNA from 1 species